rnacentral:lncRNA from 1 species
CACUUCAAAGAAAGAUGGAAGUGGAAUCUAUGGAGUGGUAGUUUCAGACAAUGUUACAAAUCUAUAUAUAGUGCAGUUUUAGAUAUGGUCCUAAAGUAUAUAGCUUGAACCACCACUUGUGCAUCACUCUAAAAAAUUACUUGUUUCAGGUUGUGAUCACACGCAGCUUUCAUUGCCUAUAUCCAAUAGUGCUAAUGCUUCUGCCUCUGAUUGAUUAAGCCCCCUUAAC